UACAGAGGGGGCAAGCGUUAUUCGGAAUUAUUGGGCGUAAAGGGCGCGUAGGCGGCCUGACAAGUGGAAGGUGAAAUCCCUCGGCUUAACCGAGGAACUGCCCUCCAAACUGUUUGGCUUGAGACCGGGAGAGGUGAGUGGAAUUCCCAGUGUAGCGGUGAAAUGCGUAGAUAUUGGGAGGAACACCAGUGGCGAAGGCGGCUCACUGGACCGGUACUGACACUGAGGCGCGAAAGCGUGGGGAGCAAACGGG
rnacentral:rRNA from 1 species